CUUCCCCUUUUCUCUCUUUCCUUUCUUCCUUCCAUCUCCUCCUCUUCGUCCACCAAUUUUGUCUUGGCCCAAUCCCAGUUCCCAGGCUCCAAAAUGUACAGAGCGAAAACCUUGAAUCGAAACGUUACAAAAAGAAACGGCACUCGCUCGAGGCGAAAAAUGCAAUUUAUUUCAACCAUCGUAAUGUGGGUUUGUGUAACUGUUUGAAAGAGUAGUUUGUGUGAUUCAAGUGUGUGUGCGUGCGUGUGAGUGCAUGAGCGAGCGAGCGUGUGUACUGUGGGUACCCUCAUGUGAGUUUCAAUGUGCCUACGGGGGGGGGGAGUUAGAGGCUGUGUGUGUAUGUGCACAUUGUAAAGUGGUCAUUGUCCCUGAAGCCGUCGAAGCAUCCACACAUUUAGCCUUUGUUUACAUCUCCACUAGCAGGCUCGUGAAAACUAGGAUAGUGAGUCAGCGUAUUUAUAUAAAUAUAUAUUCCCUUUAUAUACACACUCCCUUGAGCACUGUCCUUCUGGUGAACUGGGAGGAGCAGAGGCUGACCCGGGUGCAGUCCGACCUGGGUGUAGCAGCAGGGCAUCACCUGUGGAGAUCACCUGUGGAGAUGCCACAAGAAAGCGCUUCCAAAAGAGGUUGACCUGCGAUGAUUCCUGUUGCCAAUGGAGAAAGGGGGCACCCGAGGAAAAGUGCAAACUUUGGGUGUUUUAUUGAUGAGAGACAACAACAGCAGCGGAGCACGGCCGUGCUCGCGCACAUUUUAAAGAACGGUCCGACAUACAAAGAUGACACGGCUUGCGCAAACAGGCUGAGUGCAGUUCAACAUGGACGCCGGGACACAGGGACGCACUGCAGCCAUGUAGCCCAUGCAUCAUUUACCCACGCACCAUAUGGCACAUACCCCCUUUGGAGAGCCAGUGAGGACGCACGAGUAGACUUCUGCCAGGGGGUGGGAGACGUGAACGGGCUGGGACCUCACAAUGUCUACAGGUGUGUUGUGUUUUAAUCUAAAAUGGCUGAAUAGAACUACGCUGAUUUAAUAGACUGUAGUUCAAUACAUUAGAAUGCUCGCUGGGGGACAAAACCAUUCAUAUCCUUACUAGUGAUGAAUCUGAAUUCUGAUAACGUAGUUGUUUCCGGCUGGAAAGGCACUGAAGGUAAGAUUGGACAGUUGUGGAGAGAGAGAGAGAGUGAAGGUACGAUUGGACAGUUGUGGAGAGAGAGAGAGAGAGAGAGAGAGAGAGAGAGAGAGAGAGAGAGAGAGAGAGAGAGAGAGAGAGAGAUUGUAAAGUGUUGCAUUCAUGCACCUGUGAGUGAUAGGCAGUAUGGAUUGCCCAAAACCAAUCACAUAAAGAGGGUCAACUCUAAAUGGUUGCGUACAGAGGCAGGCGCAGUCAACUCAAAACUCCUAGAGCAUUUCCCUCCCUAAUGGCUGACGGAUGGCUAUGCUGUUUCUAACAUAAACCACUCUAAUCAUUGCUUGUAAAUCCUACCUGCUGCACCUUUAAUGAGGCUUCCAUUGGAAUACUAACUUGACCAAUCACAGCACACAGAGACCACGCUUUGUAACGUCAUAAGGUUGGCCUAAAGCAACUCAUGCACAGAACGGGAAAUCUCAGGUUCCAGCCACACCAAUACGUUGUUCCUUUUAAAGCAGAGAUUUAAAGCAGAAAUCGACCUGCGUCAAGAUGAGCGUUUGAGCACCGUUUCCAAAAUAAUCUCUGUCCAUAUUACGCAAGGAAACGCAUAUUACCCACACAACCAUUCCCAUACACUGGGCAUGCGUUUUCAGUUGGUUGAUAGUUGCAGGUAAUACUAUGGAGGAGCCCAUCAUUUGUCAUCCAUUUUGAAUUAACCACUGGUGGUCAAGGCUGACCCCUUUCAUGGUCUGUCGUGUUUUGGUGUGUUUCCCUGAGUUUCCCUCCUGUGUUGAUUACUGUUCCCUCCCCUAAUGUGUCUCAGCUGUUCCUCGUUGUGUUUGUUACUCAAGCCCUUGUCUUUCCUUUGUUCCUUGUGCUAUCAUUGUGGUUGUUCGUCCUGCGUGUUCCCUGUUCCCUGUUGUCACCUGAGUUCCCUGGUUCCUUGCCUUAGCCUUUAGGCGAAAAUAAAGCGCUGUUCUCCCUAAACCGUCUGCGUCUGGGUCCUACCUGCCUGCCU
ensembl:lncRNA